AAUGUGAUCACAGAGACUUCCUGAGGUCCUGAAACACCCGUGUCCUAUAGCAGUGCUGCUCACACUUGCCUAAUGAGAACAAUUGCCAAGGGAGGUUGCUAGAUGCAUAUUCCUGAACUCCAAUCCAAACCUAGUAACAGAGCCAAGUUCUUCAUUAGCCACGAUGCUACUAUUUCAGAAGAUGAUGCCAUGAUCAUGAAUGCACUAGAGCAAUCUGCAGGGAAUGUUUUAUGGUGAUACUUGCAUCUGUGAAGCAUUUGUCCUCUAAAAAGAAAGCAUGUACUUUAAAGGUUAAAUUCUCGUGCCCUGUCCAAUGUACAGAAUAUCCUCAAAAACCUACGGGUAAUAACCUUUAUAUCUUCUACUGUGAGCAUGAUGGAGGUUGA
rnacentral:lncRNA from 1 species